UCAAAUGGAGUGCUAAAGUUUAGUAUUGUGUAUCCAAACGGGACCUUAGAGCAACUCCAAGAGGCUGCUAAUCUUACCCCAAUACCUGUUUUAGGAAAAAAGAGAGAAAAAAUGAACUCCAACAAUCCUCCUAAACCUUCCCCAAAUUUUUAGCGACGCUAAAAAACAGCCUGCCACCGCGUAUAUUUUAGCGUUGGCAUUCCUCCCCCAAUUCUGAUUCCC
rnacentral:lncRNA from 1 species